AGAGUUUGAUCAUGGCUCAGAACGAACGCUGGCGGCAGGCCUAACACAUGCAAGUCGAACGCUCGUAGCAAUACGAGAGUGGCAGACGGGUGAGUAACGCGUGGGAACCUUCCCUAUGGUUCGGAAUAGCUCAGGGAAACCUGGGGUAAUACCGAAUAAGCCCUUCGGGGGAAAGAUUUAUCGCCAUUGGAUGGGCCCGCGUAGGAUUAGCUAGUUGGUGAGGUAACGGCUCACCAAGGCGACGAUCCUUAGCUGGUCUGAGAGGAUGAUCAGCCACACUGGGACUGAGACACGGCCCAGACUCCUACGGGAGGCAGCAGUGGGGAAUAUUGGACAAUGGGCGAAAGCCUGAUCCAGCCAUGCCGCGUGAGUGACGAAGGCCUUAGGGUUGUAAAGCUCUUUUGCCGGGGACGAUAAUGACGGUACCCGGAGAAUAAGUCCCGGCUAACUUCGUGCCAGCAGCCGCGGUAAUUC
rnacentral:rRNA from 1 species